AUCUCUCGAUUAAAAUUUUUUGUAACACACCAUUAAUUAAACAUGAUAAAGGACUACAGAAAAAGGUGCGUAUCCCGGGCGGGGCUUAGAGUUGAUUGACAAGCUCUUUGUCCAAUCAGCGCAGCCAUCCUGUAGCUCGUACUAGCAUAGCAAAGAUGGCGUAGGAGCGAAGGGUGGAAGGAGGAGAGGACCUUCUUCUCUCCCCUUUACCGUGUCUAGGAGCGGAGGGAAGGGGGUCCGAAACUUUUAAGCUGUCCUUUCAAUUUACGGCUGUUCUUAUGAAAAUAAAACCCGGCGGUCCUGCAGGUGGAGAGGACUCCUAAUAUGGAACCGCAGAGGAAGGAUCCCCCGGCUUUUGUUUACCAUUGUGUGCAGCUGCAUGAUCCCAGAGGCAAAGUGGAAAUAUCUCUGCAUCGCUCCUCAGGUGAGAUGAAGUGACCCAGGAGAAGAUUCAAAACCAACAACAUGACUCCUCCACUUCUGCAGAGUCCUGGAGAACAGCAGAUAAGAUUACCGGCCUUCACCGCCUUUCCUCCUGUUUUUGUGGGACACUGGACAUCUCUUCUGCGGCAGCCCCUCUUGUCCUGACCUCUCUCUGCAGCCUGAUCGUUGCUAAGGACAGCUUCCCAAGAAUGAAAGUCAUCCAACCUUGUAGACGAAAAUCACAAUAAAUAGCCUCAUGUAACAGCAGCCCUGAAGCUGUUUGAUUGGCUUGAAGGAAUGGGUCAAUCUCGGCCCGUUAUGCAUCUAAACAAGGUUGUUUAUUUCCCCAAGAAAAACAAAACAAAUAUCUCAAGGUUUGAUCAUGUAAAAGGUAAAGACACAACAUACUGUA